GAUGAGCGCUGGCAGCAUGCUUAACACAUGCAAGUCGAACGGAAAGGCCGAAGCUUGCUUCGGUACUCGAGUGGCGAACGGGUGAGUAACACGUGGGUGAUCUGCCCUGUACUUCGGGAUAAGCUUGGGAAACUGGGUCUAAUACCGGAUAUGACGAUCUCUUGGAUGGGGUUGUGGAAAGCUUUUGCGGUAUGGGAUGAGCUCGCGGCCUAUCAGCUUGUUGGUGGGGUAAUGGCCUACCAAGGCGUCGACGGGUAGCCGGCCUGAGAGGGUGUACGGCCACAUUGGGACUGAGAUACGGCCCAGACUCCUACGGGAGGCAGCAAUGGGGAAUAUUGCACAAUGGGCGCAAGCCUGAUGCAGCGACGCCGCGUGGGGGAUGACGGCCUUCGGGUUGUAAACUCCUUUCGCAAUCGACGAAGCCUUUUGGUGACGGUAGGUUGAGAAGAAGCACCGGCUAACUACGUG
rnacentral:rRNA from 1 species